GAUGAACGCUAGCGGCAGGCCUAAUACAUGCAAGUCGGACGGGAUUUGGGAGCUUGCUCCUAAUGAGAGUGGCGCACGGGUGCGUAACACGUAUGUAACCUACCUUAAUCAGGGGGAUAGCCUCUCGAAAGAGAGAUUAACACCGCAUAAUAUAUUUUUAUGGCAUCGUAGAAAUAUCAAAUAUUUAUAGGAUUAAGAUGGGCAUGCGGAACAUUAGCUAGUUGGUAAGGUAACGGCUUACCAAGGCUACGAUGUUUAGGGGAUCUGAGAGGAUGACCCCCCACACUGGUACUGAGACACGGACCAGACUCCUACGGGAGGCAGCAGUAAGGAAUAUUGGUCAAUGGGCGCAGGCCUGAACCAGCCAUGCCGCGUGCAGGAAGACGGCCCUAUGGGUUGUAAACUGCUUUUGUACCGGAAUAAACCCUUUUACGUGUAGAAGGCUGAAUGUACGGUAAGAAUAAGGAUCGGCUAACUCCGUGCCAGCAGCCGCAGUAA
rnacentral:rRNA from 1 species